rnacentral:tRNA from 2 species
GUCUUAGCUCAGUGGUAGAGCACUUCCUUGGUAAGGAAGAGGUCGUGAGUUCAAGUCUCAUA